CACGGAGCUGCUGCGGCGAGCCAGCGCCCUGCGCGGUGCCAACGACCGCCAGGCCGGCCACAUCCGCCACAUCCAAGAUAAAUUGCAAAAAGAACAAGAGCAGAAAGUAAUACUGGAGGCAACAAUCAGCCAUUUGCAGAACUUGAUCCACAACCAGAACAACCAACAGAAGAGCCAGGAGGUGACGGUGCAAAGGAAAGACCAGGUUUUCACCACACAGACCCCAUCUCUCAUUCCUGCCAAGGAAAAACAAAGUGCUCUGUCAGAGCACCCUGAGGAGGAGGAGGAGGAGAAGGAGGAGGAGGAGGAGGAGAAGGAGAAGGAGAAGGAGGAGGAGGAGGAGGAGGAGGGAACUGAAAGUCUGAAGGAUGAGAUGCAGAAAUGGACAUUCCAGCUCACAGCACAGGAGAACGAGGUACCCGAGGAUGCUGGGGCAGAGCCGGGCCGUGCCCGGCCGCGGGCGAAGCGCUGCGGCGGCUGCAGCAGCC
rnacentral:lncRNA from 1 species